UACAUGGGGUGCAAACGUUGCUCGGAAUUAUUGGGCGUAAAGGGCGCGUAGGCGGCUUGGCAAGUGGAAGGUGAAAUCCCUCGGCUUAACCGAGGAACUGCCCUCCAAACUGCUUCGCUUGAGACCGGGAGAGGUGAGUGGAAUUCCCAGUGUAGCGGUGAAAUGCGUAGAUAUUGGGAGGAACACCAGUGGCGAAGGCGGCUCACUGGACCGGUACUGACGCUGAUGCGCGAAAGCGUGGGGAGCAAACGGG
rnacentral:rRNA from 1 species